GACGAACGCUGGCGGCGUGCCUAAUACAUGCAAGUAGAACGCUGAAGAGAGGAGCUUGCUCUUCUUGGCUGAGUUGCGAACGGGUGAGUCACGCGUAGGUAACCUGCCUGGUAGCGGGGGAUAACUAUUGGAAACGAUAGCUAAUACCGCAUAAAAUUGAUUAUUGCAUGAUACUUAAUUGAAAGAUGCAACUGCAUCACUACCAGAUGGACCUGCGUUGUAUUAGCUAGUUGGUGAGGUAACGGCUCAACAAGGCGACGAUACAUAGCCGGCCUGAGAGGGUAGUCGGCCACACUGGGACGGGGACACGGCCCAGACUCCUACGGGAGGCAGCAGUAGGGAAUCUUCAGCAAUGGGGGGAAACCUGACCGAGCAACGCCGCGGGAGUGAAGAAGGUUGUCGGAUCGUAAAGCUCUGUUGUAAGGGAAGAACGGGUGUGAGAGUGGAAAGUUCACACUGUGACGGUAACUUACCAGAAAGGGACGGCUAACUACGUG
rnacentral:rRNA from 1 species